UGACAUUGAAAAACAAUAUGGCUACUCCAUUACGUAUACAAGAACUCAUACGUCACAUUGGUGACGUUUAUCCACAAAAGGUUGUCAACCACAAAAAUAAAUUAGAUCCACUUUACGACAACCAUCGUCCAGGGGUAUCUAAUAUGGCGUCUAUUGGUAGUACUCAGGUGAAACCUCUAGAUUUAGUUGAUAUAAGAAAAGAACAGAGGCGUCUGGCUGCUCUGCUUGAAAUAAAAACCAGGGAUCCGCUUUUUGCUGUUCCAAAAUAUCGCCCAGCACCGAAACGCAAAUGUAUUAUCUGUAACUUGCCUAAUGCUGAUCGUAGGUUAUUCAAUGGACCACUCCCCUACACCCAUAGAGGUAUAGUUAUACCUAGAGUACCUGACCCAUCAUUUGU